rnacentral:rRNA from 1 species
AUCCACUCAUUAUUUUCACAUAGCCACGCAACCAUCCGGUACACAGCAGAAUCAACGACACAAGUACCCAACCGAACUACACUAGGGCAAAGACUAUACAAAAUGACCAUCCAUUCUUACUAGUCUUUCUCUUUUGCGUUCCUCAUAAACAACAAAAUGGACUUCAAAUGAACAUUAAUGUUCUCUUCUCUUUUUCUUACUGAGUGCACUGCAAAUGAUUUCUAGAAGAAAAAAAGAGUGAGCUGCAAAACAACUCACUCAGCGACGAGGGACUGCAGUAUGGUCACCGGCAAAACGCACGACAUGCAUGAUUAGCUGGCGAACCCCAAGUGCACACUAGAGGAGCUACAUGUUUUGAGAAGUGAACCUCUUGGCUACUAACCGCUUAGUAUUUUUAUACUGAGCCGCUUCGCAAUCUCACACAAAACUGCAUACUGAACUCCAUGAUGAAGUGUGUAUGACUUUUCUUUGUCUUUUUCGUCAACCGCCGAACCACAAGGCACAAACCAUCGUCGUUUUGCCAACCGGCGCCACCGCACUGCACCUGACGCGCCACCGUGCUGCACCUGACGCGCCACCGUGCUGCACAGAGAAAAGGAGACGGGGUUAGGAGGAUGUGGCGCUGGAACUGAAGUGCUAAAAACAGGGGGGUCAGGAGGAUGUGGUGGUUUGCAGGGGCAAAACGGGUGGCCGCCGGCGUUGGGGGUGGAUCCCGUGGCCCCCCAUCAGCGUUCGAAGGGGUGGACCGAACUACAAACGCCUGUUUGGUCGAGCUGCACGCUGCUGUGGGCAGAACUGCACCCCCAUGUGCACCUCGCCGCCGCUGUUGGAGGGAGGAAGGACGCUGCGGUCGUAGGAUGCAGUCCAGGUGGUCGACGCGCGUGGUCGCCAUGGUGCUCACGGAAGGGGAGGUGAUGGCCGCCCGCACCCACACAGGGACAGGAAGACGCGUGGGGAUCCAGCCUCCUUGGGAACACGCGGGACCGCCGCCCACUCCCAGCCCGGGAUCAGAUCUCCAAGCGGUGGUAGGUGAGCCGCCGGCCAUCCAGCACAGCGGCGCUGGUGCGACCAGAGGUAGGGCGGUGCCGGUCAGGAGGGAAGGGGGCGCCGGAGGAAGAUGCCAACGGGGAGGACCGGGCGCGUUCCAGAUCUCGGGCGCGUAGCUUCCAGCACCGUUGCUGAGCGGCGCCUCCUCGAUCUGGCGCGGGGCAGCAGGUUGGUAGCCAGAGAGGGGCGGCGCGGUGGGAAGGAGGUGGGGCUCUGCGGAGGAGAAGGAUGAGUCCCGUCGGUGGGGGUAGGUGUGGGUGGAAGGCCGGUCGGUGGAGGGUGCCCGGCCGGCGCGGCGCGGCGCUGGUGGCUGCCGGCGAUGGCGGUAGAAGGUGAUGAGGAUUGGGGUUGGUCUGGUGCGAGGCGUGAAGGGGCGGCGCGGGGAGGGAGGUUGUGCGGUGGAGGCGUUGGGGUGGGAGGUGGUUCGGAGAGGAAGGAGAUGGGAAGACGAAAGUGGGAGGAAGUGCGGG